AGGCUGCACUCUGGAGGAGAGCGAGAGAUCCUUCAGGACUACAGCAGUGAACACAGCAGCCUGACCAAAACAGAGAGUGACCCGCCAGGGGACCUGUCUCUGCCAGCUCUAGGUCCUGAUGCCUGCUCUAUUGGUGUGGAGGAAUAAAUGUGGGUCAUCAGAGAGCCUGAAGAGUCAGAGUACCAACUGCUCCAGCCAGCCCCUCCUGUGUCCCCCAGCAGCCUUCACAUGGAGGAUGAGCAAUUUGACCCCUAACCUCUGGGCCCAACGGUUCUCCCUCUCUGGCUGAGUCCCAAUUCACUUUCUCACGUGGAUUUCACAAUGGUGGAAACUCCCUCCAGUCAAUAAUUACACCAAUCCAAUGCUUUUAAAUCCAUGACGGGAGUGUGAAAGUGCACAUUUAGCCUAAAGGAUGAAUAAUUGGGACUUAGCCAUGGUCUCCUCCCAAGCCCAUCCCUCCCCCAUGAUCCAGUCCCCUUGGGCCUUGUAGAAGACCUCUCUCCUACUUUGGUCACCGAUUCAUGCCAUAACUGGCAUUGAUUCAAAAUGUGUUUGUGGUGGUCAUUGCAAGGAUUUACUAAAACCAUACUAUACCUUAAUAGAAAAACAACAAGUCCUUAAUUAGAUUGCUUUGCAUACAUACAUUUAGGAGUGUGUAAUUGUUUGUCCAUUCUGGAUGGGGUUGUGAUGCAGUGGUGGACGUUGCAUGAUUCCAGUGGUUGAGUAUGACUACCAUCAUAUGGUAGUACUAGAAGCACACUCACUUUCAGUUUACUCUAUUCAAAUUAUUGCUUGACACUAAUUGUUUUAGAGAGCAUUAAUACCAUUCAUGUUGUAUUCAUCUACACUAAUAACUUGUUUUAACUGUUAUUUCUUGGUGCUUGUAUGAUAUGAAACGUUUUUGAAAUCAAACUUUGAAACAUUUCAGUGGACAUUUGACAUGAUCUAAACAUGACAUAAUUGAACGGUGUCAUUUAAAAAAAAAAAGUUUUUGAGGAUUCAUUCAUUUUACUUUGAAAUGGUGAAUUCCCCUGUCAAAUUGAGGCAUUUCAUUUCAAGUUGUCUUCAACGGUAAAUAUCUGCAUUUGUUUGUUUUUAUACUGAAUUAUGUGAUAUCUUAUAUAUUGUACCUGUACUAGAAAAUUGUGUAGAUUAAUUUGCAAAAUUGUAUAUUUGUGUAUUAUAGAAGAACAUCUGGGGAUUCAAAUAAGGAGAUUAGUAGUUACAGCUACAUGCACAGUAUCUCACAUUUAGCUGAUCGAUUUUUAGUGACAGAGUCCAGCUUUACACCCGAACAGCUGAACACAAAGAUAGAUAGAGCCUGCAACAAGCCAAUACGCGAUGCUGACUGUAUAGCACAAAGUGUGUUAUUUGUAGACGUGGCAUAUUUCUGUAGCUAUAUUGUGGCUUGUCAUCCUGGCAUAGUCGUUGCCUUGCUCAAGUUCUAUGACUUGCAGUGUCUGACCUCCCUGUAGAUGUAGCACCAUACAUAUAGAUCUAUGUGCCUUCAACUAAACAGAUAUGGCUGCUGCUUGUUGCAUUUUUGGUGUUCUUGUGAUGAAACUGUUUCAGGAUAUACAGCUGUAUGAGCACGUAGUCUAGGAGGUUUUUAUUCCCAUUGGCUGAUAUACAGAGCUGUAAAAGUAUGACAUUUCUUUGCAUUCUCAAUGGUUCGUUAAAUAUUUUUAAAGAAACCUAAUUGUUAUUAAAACCAACUGUUCAGCAAUUAGAAUUAUGUUAAGUCCAUAUAUUGAUACAUUUCAUCUAAAAAUGAACUACAUUAUGAGUAGACUUGGUUGUUAUAUGGUCUGUAUUGUAUGAGUUCUAAUUUUUUCCCCAGGGGGAAUAAACUAAAUGCUUCUCAACCAUUUUACUUAUGCAACAUCUUGAGACAUUGCAUCUUUAACAUUAGGUUAUCUUUUGCUUGUGAGUUUUGUUGUAGAGGGGUGUAAAACUAUCCAAUCUGUUUUUGAUUAACACUGUUCAUGUCAUGUGUCUUUGAUUAACGAUGUGUCAUGUUAACUUUGAUGAUGCACUUGUGCCUUGUUCCUGUUUCUCACUAUUAUUGACCUGGUAUCCAGGACAACACCACAUUUCGUGAUUCAUAACUCUAUCAAUAUCUGUCUGUCCCUGUGUACAGAUGUAGGAUCUUCAUUUGAUCAAUAUUCUGUUACUGAGAAUUUUCCUUCACAGCAGGAAAUGCACAUUUGUAGUGUAUUCAAGGUUUAAAAAGGCUUCUAAAGUUUGUCAUUUCUACUUUAAAAUAUCAGACUAGAUUUGCACUAAUGAAAAAUGUAUCAACCCCUACAAAAAUGUCCCAUUCACUAUAAUCCACAUAAUUAAAAUUUCCUGUUGCUGCAGGAUUAUUUUCCUGCUGUAGCAAACUGGCUCAAAUUAAGAUCCUACAUGUGUAGCCUAUAGCCGCAUGUGAAUAACAAUUAAAUAAAUGUAAUGUUGAACACUUCUGGUUUUAACUGCAUGUCUCAAGCUUGACCUGUGAUGACCAUUUAGGGUGAAUUCUGAAAAAGUGGGACACUGCAUUUCCAUCUUCUGUAACCUCUUUCGACAUCUAUUCAACAUAUUAGCCCAACACAUGACACAUUUCUGAAAUCCUACAGAUGUUUCGUAAUCGCACAAAAAAAAACGACUGUUGAUUUUAUAUUCACAGGAGGCAUGACCAUAUUUUCAGUUCGCAUUUGGUCGACUUUGACACCAUUAUUAUAGUCCUAAUUGUACUUCAAUGACGAUUCAAUUUUGUGUGAUUAGGAAACAUUUGAGGAUUUCAGAAAUGUAUCAUGUUGGGCCGAUAUGUUGUAUAGGUGUCUGAAGAAGUUACAGAAGACGAAAACGCAAAAAGUGUCCUGCUUUCUGAAUUCCAGAAAUAACAGUACUAAUAACAGGAUAUAGUACUACAAGAACAGAGCCUAACCUAAAUACAGGUGGCCCCUAAUGUAAACUGGUUCUCUCUCCUCCAUUAGAAAAGCCCACUCCAUUCUGCUACUUUAACUAGCUAUGGUUGGUAAUGCCGGACAACAAACAUGACAAUUUCAAAAUUGAAGAUAAUAUUGGCAACUUUAUGUAUUUUGAUGCACCAGUACAUAGUAUUCACAUUUACGUCAACAUUCGGCACAGUGCAUUAUGUAGGACCGUUUUAUAACCUUAACAAAACAGAGAAGCUAUGUCACUGAUUUUACCGUGUGCUUCCCGGGGUGAGCUUCCUGUUUGCUUUCUCUGCCCCUCCAUGAUGUCACCAAUUAAGUGAUGUAAUUUUGCUUUUAGUAACAAUAGUUUAAAUGUUCUUUUGUCAGACCAAGAAAUAAAGGAAUCAGGAUUAAUCUGUCCCAGUUA